UAUCCGCAGCACUGAUUGCCCACCCUUCGAACCAAUCGAAUGGAUAUCGAUAGCACGCCUUAAUCAGCUGUCGCAUAACUCCACCCUCGUCACGGCUAGCGAGCAAUUGAUCCGGGAAAUGACAGUAGAAGAGGAUGCGUUGUUUCCCUCUCGCUUUAGAAAACAGUCGCCCAAAGGUCUUCAGAAUAGGUACACACGCAGGUACCUGGUCGACGAUAUAUACAUCCUCCUCCUCCUCCUCCUUCUCGUCGUCGUCAUCCCCCACUUCAUUUCUGUCCCGCCUAUCAACCGCAUCUCCCUCCCGUCCCCGCUCCCGCUCCCGCGCCAUUAACAACCACACCACUAAAUGCACCUGCCUCAACACAGCAAACAACACCCGAAACCGCCCCGCAAUCUGAUCUGGGAACACAGUGUUUCCGCGCACAGUCACGUCCAGCGUGCCAUCGCGCGCCUCCUCGAAGCAGUGACUAUGGUCCCGGUGCGACGUGUAGAUUUUCACUUUGUGUCCGCGCGCUUGCAGAGCCAGCGCAAUGUCGAGGAUGAGGCGCUCUGCGCCGCCGAUCCCUAGGUCUGGGUGGAGGAUGGUUAUUGUUCUGCGUUUUUUGCGAGGUGCGUGUUUUGACAUCUGAGUUGGAUUCGAUUUUAAUUGGAAUUGGAAUGGACCGUUUUGGUUUUGUAGAAAACAUGGA
rnacentral:sRNA from 1 species